rnacentral:rRNA from 1 species
UACGAAGGGAGCUAGCGUUGUUCGGAAUCACUGGGCGUAAAGCGCACGUAGGCGGAUUGCUAAGUCAGGGGUGAAAUCCCGGGGCUCAACCUCGGAACUGCCUUUGAUACUGGCGGUCUAGAGUUCGGAAGAGGUGGGUGGAAUUCCUAGUGUAGAGGUGAAAUUCAUAUAUAUUAGGAAGAACACCGGUGGCGAAGGCGGCCCACUGGUCCGGUACUGACGCUGAGGUGCGAAAGCGUUGCGAGCAAACAGG